rnacentral:sRNA from 1 species
CAGCUCCUAAAAUAAUGGGAUGUGAACCUGCCAAGUAGGUACCUUCGGGCGGACCUACUACUUGAUUUAGCUGAUUUUUCCUGGGCUGGGAACCUGUAUUGCAUGUACCAAAUCCUGUCUUUCAUUAAUUUUCCUAUGUUCCUGUUAUAUUCUUGGCGUCGUUCAACACUAAGCAUUCCUCCUGUAUAACCAACUCUUGCCUGUAUUUAACAUCACACAAGGACUCAUCAUAAGCACUGCUUGCAUACGAGUAU